rnacentral:misc_RNA from 1 species
GAUGAAGAACGUAGCGAAAUGCGAUAAGUAGUGUGAAUUGCAGAAUUCCGUGAAUCAUCGAAUCUUUGAACGCACAUUGCGCCUUCUGGUAUUCCGGAAGGCAUGCCUGUUCGAGAGUCAUUAACAACCGUUUCGAUCCCUUUCUUUCAGAAAUUACAAAGAGGAAAAGGGUUUGGUUAUGGUGGAGGAGGGAAAGGGAGCGUUUAGCCUGUAAAAAAAGAGGCUGUGUUCCGCCUCCCACCCAAAAUUGUACAGGCGGUCGUGUGCGCCCACGCAUCGAGGUGUUGUAAAAGCUGCCACGGCACUUUUCACCUGUGCAGUGCGAGAUUGGCCAGCCGGUUUAAAAACCCCUCCAAACAAUCAAAGGUUGACCUCGGAUCAGGUAGGGAUACCCGCUGAACUUAAGCAUAUCAAUAAGCGGAGGA